rnacentral:rRNA from 1 species
CACGUAGGGUGCGAGCGUUUGUCCGGAAUUAUUGGGCGUAAAGAGCUCGUAGGCGGUGUGUCGCGUCGGCCGUGAAAACCUGGGGCUUAACUCUGGGCUUGCGGUCGAUACGGGCAUCACUGGAGUUCGGCAGGGGAGACUGGAAUUCCUGGUGUAGCGGUGAAAUGCGCAGAUAUCAGGAGGAACACCGGUGGCGAAGGCGG